AUUCCCAUCUGGAGAUUCCUCAAAUGGCCCAGAGGAACCAGAAGCAACUUGUGAGGACUCAGGGUCCAAGAAGGCAGAAUGUGGGACAGAGGCAGUUUCUGAAAAGCAACAACUGAAUCCAGACAACAUCUUCAGAUGCUGAGAAGUGGAUUCUUUACCAGCUGAGCCACAAGGGUAGCCUACUCCAGCAGAUCCCUUCUCUAGCAAAUCUUCCCAACCUGGGAAUUGAACUGGUCUCUCCUGCAUUGCAGGCAGAUUCUUUACCAGCUGACCUACCAGGGAAGCCCUUGUAUGCUGCUGCUGCUGCUGCUAAGUCGCUUUAGUCGUGACUGACUCUGUGCGACCCCAUAGACAGCAGCCCACCAGGCUCCGCCAUCCCUGGGAUUCUCCAGGCAAGAGUACUGGAGUGGGGUGCCAUUGCCUUCUCCAAGCC
ensembl:lncRNA